AAUGCCACUGGUUGGCCAGGUGUUCACACCUGGUGUCCCAGGUGUUGUGGUUGAAAUCAGUCGUGAUUAGAGGGGAAGAAUGAAAAGCAGCAGGACUGCUGGCCUCCAGGGCCAGAUCUGAGUAGCCACUGCUUUUACUGUGACACUUAUGAAUCACAGAGGAAGAGGGCCUUGAUGGACCAGAUGGAAAUGUGCUGCCAGGUUUCACCAAUCAUCCUGGAAAGCUUCGUUUAAGGUUUUGGAAACAUUUCCCCCCCAUGAAACCACCACUAGAGGAGGCAGCCCAGAAGACCACUGGCAAACAGAUAAUCUUGUUUGAGGAGGUGAGAUGAGAGACGGAGGAAAGUGCGUUAUAAAGCUGUCUGUGUGGAGGGAGCCGUGCACGCCAUGCCAGGCUGCGGCCGGAACGCCGGUGGAGGGAAGGCCGCUGCAGGGAAUGCCGGUGGAGGGAAGGCCGCUGCUGGGAAUGCGUGGAGGGAAGGCCGCUGCAGGGAAUGCUGGUGAGGAGGCCCGCAGGAAUGCCGCUGCAGGGAAUGCCGGUGGAGGGAAGGCCGCUGCAGGGAAUGCUGGUGGAGGGAAGGCCGCUGCAGGGAAUGCCGGUGGAGGGAAGGCCGCUGGCACGUUGCCGGCCUGUUCUGGCCCCUCAGCCGCGGCUCUUUCUGGGUCCCCCUCUUCCACAGAGAGCAUCCUGGGAAAUUAUGACUGGUUAAAACUGGAAAUGUUUUUAUUUUGUAUUUUUUAUAUGAUAUGACACGAUUAGCUUAUUUUUGUGUCCGUACUUGCUUCAGUCGUACAGGCUGCUAGCGGUGUGCACACAGGGCUGCCGUUUCCACUGUUGCCGGGCGACCUUUUUCUCCCAGCGCUCAUGGCUGAUUGGCUGGAGCUUUGCGUUUCCUCUCUCUACAGUGAUGGCAUGAUGGAGUUCUUGACUGCGUGUAUGCAUGUUGUACUAUGCGUCAUGUGACUGCGUGUAUGCAUGCUCGACCAUGCAUCACAUGACUGCGUGUAUGCAUGUUCUACCAUGCGUCUCAUGUGGCUCCUCAUGCCUGUACCAAGAGCUGGCUCAGACAUCUCUUUAGUUUAAGUUCUGGUUUGUUGGUUAUUGAGUUACGGAUGUACUUGUUUCUGUUUUUUCAAAUAAACAGAUGAUAAUGUUUUUCUUGA